GUGCUCACUUCAGCAGCACAUAUACUAAAAUUGGAAUGAAGCAAAGAAGAUUAGCAUGGCACCUGCACAAGGAUGACAUGCAAAGAACAUCCUGCUAAUAAAUGAGU
ensembl:snRNA U6 U6 spliceosomal RNA